AGCUCAUUUUCCUCUACACUCUACAAUCGCCGUCUCUGAGUCACUCUCGGUCUCUCUCGAAUCCUCUUCUUCUUCUUCUGUUCUUCAGACUCUCUCAAGUUCUCAACUCUGUCCGUCUCUUGUCGCUCAUCUCUCAAAUCUCAAGUCUCUCAAAUCCUCUUCUCUCAACACUCGUCUCUCGUCUCUCGCUUCUUAACUCUCAAGUUUGUUGAAUCCAAAACCCUAGUCGUGCGUUUUUCAAUUUAAACCCAAAUGAGGAAAGUGAAUGUUUGGGAAAGAUUUGGUGUGCUAGCUGACUGGAAGACUGGGUCUUUAUUGUUCAAAGCCUCAAGAAGUUCGAGUACAUUCAAGACCCUCUGGUGCACCUCUCUCUUUAUGUUCAUCGUCUUGGUAGAAUUAUUCUAUGUUUAAUGGGAAUUCAACUAAAUUAUUCUGUUUGAUUAGAAAAAAUUAUCAUUGUCAAUUUUAUUUUUUAGCUACCCUAUAGUUAACCAAUCAUUUCCCAAAAUUCAAUUUUUAUUUAUUUAUUGUUGCUGUUUUAUUUAUUUAUUUAUUUAUUUCUUAGUUGCCUUGUUGAGACUUUGGUUGGGGUUCUUAGAAGUAGAAUUUAUCGGACAAAAAUCAAUGGUACUUUCUCAUCCUGAUAAUUAUCAAAAGUUGAAGGCUUACUUGCAG